rnacentral:rRNA from 1 species
AGUAAUGUAUGGGGAUCUGCCUGAUGGCGGGGGAUAACUACUGGAAACGGUAGCUAAUACCGCAUAAUGUCUACGGACCAAAGCGGGGGACCUCCGGGCCUCGCGCCAUCAGAUGAACCCAUAUGGGAUUAGCUAGUAGGUGAGGUAACGGCUUACCUAGGCGACGAUCCCUAGCUGGUCUGAGAGGAUGAUCAGCCACCACUGGGACUGAGACACGGCCCAG